CACCUAUUCAAGCAACAGUGGGAAGAGCUCUGCCGCAAGCUGGUGGUGACUGAGCUAACACCUGGGAACAGUGUUGGGAGAAGUGAGAGCACAAAUCUGACCAAGUGAAAACCAGUGCUGAAGUGAAGAUCCUCCAGGACUGGAUGGCUGGGAGGAAGCCAGGAAAUCGGUUCCACUGAUUCAGAGGGCCUCUGGUCAUGGCCACAAAGUCUCCAUCCUUGAUCUUGCUUAUCCUUGGGAUGAAAGUCUGGCAGGGAAAGAAGAAGAAAAGACUUCCAAAUAUCAGCACUUAAGAAUGGAAUUAGGAAGCCUAUAGAGAUGAAGAGCUAAAGCAAUAGCAACUGUUAUGGGUAGCCUGGGAACUCUGGCCAAGACCUCCAUAACUCACUUUCUGGGGCUUUUUUUAAUAAAGCUUUUAUUUUGAAGACCUCUUCCAUAGCAUGAUAGCAUAUUGACCUCUAAAGAUCUGUGUGAUUCUGAACUCAAGAUGAGGCUGUGAAAUAAAGUAAUAGUGACCCUGUCAUAUUAAUGUGGGAGGAAUCCAAAUAAUUUUUUCACCCCCCAGAUUCAGCCAACUCUGAAGCAUGGGGCAGCUAUUUAAUAAUGCAGAACAACAUGACAUCCUUUUAGGAAGGGAACAAUUCAAUGGU